CGUAGGAGGCAAGCGUUAUCCGGAUUCACUGGGCGUAAAGCGCGUGCAGGUGGCACGGUAAGUUGGGCGUGAAAUCUCCCGGCUCAACUGGGAGAGGUCGUUCAAUACUACCGUGCUCGAGAGCAGAAGAGGAAGAUGGAAUUCCCGGUGUAGUGGUGAAAUGCGUAGAUAUCGGGAGGAACACCAGUGGCGAAGGCGAUCUUCUGGUCUGUUUCUGACACUCAGACGCGACAGCUAGGGUAGUAAACGGGAUUAGAGACCCCCGGUAAUCCUAGCCGUAAACGAUGUGAACUUGGCGUUGGUGGGUUAAACUCCAUCAGUGCCGUAGCAAACGCGAUAAGUUCACCGCCUGGGGACUACGGCCGCAAGGUUA
rnacentral:rRNA from 1 species